AUUGAACGCUGGCGGCAGGCCUAACACAUGCAAGUCGAGCGGCAGCGGAAAGUAGCUUGCUACUUUGCCGGCGAGCGGCGGACGGGUGAGUAAUGUCUGGGAAACUGCCUGAUGGAGGGGGAUAACUACUGGAAACGGUAGCUAAUACCGCAUGACCUCGAAAGAGCAAAGUGGGGGAUCUUCGGACCUCACGCCAUCGGAUGUGCCCAGAUGGGAUUAGCUAGUAGGUGAGGUAAUGGCUCACCUAGGCGACGAUCCCUAGCUGGUCUGAGAGGAUGACCAGCCACACUGGAACUGAGACACGGUCCAGACUCCUACGGGAGGCAGCAGUGGGGAAUAUUGCACAAUGGGCGCAAGCCUGAUGCAGCCAUGCCGCGUGUGUGAAGAAGGCCUUAGGGUUGUAAAGCACUUUCAGCGAGGAGGAAGGCACCAUACUUAAUACGUGUGGUGAUUGACGUUACUCGCAGAAGAAGCACCGGCUAACUCCGUGCCAGCAGCCGCGGUAAUACGGAGGGUGCAAGCGUUAAUCGGAAUUACUGGGCGUAAAGCGCACGCAGGCGGUUUGUUAAGUCAGAUGUGAAGUCCCCGCGCUUAACGUGGGAACUGCAUUUGAAACUGGCAAGCUAGAGUCUUGUAGAGGGGGGUAGAAUUCCAGGUGUAGCGGUGAAAUGCGUAGAGAUCUGGAGGAAUACCGGUGGCGAAGGCGGCCCCCUGGACAAGGACUGACGCUCAGGUGCGAAAGCGUGGGGAGCAAACAGG
rnacentral:rRNA from 1 species